AGUUUCAAAACAGGCUCUGCAGAAGGAUGAGCUAGACAGACACUUCCCUCUAUUUGACUCAACCAACAGCCCAAUCCACAGGAAUAUGUGCAGUAAACUCAGCACUACCCUAGGAGGGUCAGGGUCUAAACUCUGCUGUACUGGGGUAAAUUACUAUUCUAGGAGGGAACAAUACAUUCAGAAUAACAACUAACAGUUAAGCUGGAAUAAGAACGGGAAAUCACAAUAGGGCGAAAGCGAAAGGACUCUGGACCAGGAAUUCGUGACCUACCAAAGCUAAAAGAGCUGCUGCCGGUUAUUACCGGGCAAAUCACUAACAUCACUGGAGCCUCAGCUUUUCUAAUCCAUUAAAUGGUUGGUUAAUCUAAAUGAGGUGUCCUAGACCGUUGGAAUCUGUGGCCUAUUUUUCCUAGGGGAAUGGCCUAUAACUUGCUAUUUUCCAAAGGGCCGAGAAUAGUUUAAUGUGCAGUAAAGGACGCUGGUGGGAGGGGGGUAGAAGGGGGCUGAGACCCCACCCCACCCCGCCGCCUGCAGCAGGCUCCCGGACGGCUCGGGGAGCGUCCCCCGCCUGGGUGCCCACCUGAUUCCCUUGGCCUUCAGGACUAGACGCGUCCUCUCAGCAAACGGGCAGAACCUCAUGCUGUAGAUGCGGAUCGAGCCCUCCGGGACCGGCCCCGGGGGCGCGCUUCCUGCCGGGGAGAAGCGAAGGCGAUUACGGCCCAGAGAGGUGUCGAGACCCCCCGUAUCCCACCGCCCCCGCGUCCCACUGCAGCUCCGACCCGUUCCCCGCCGGUGGGGCGCUCCCGGGCGGCUGGGCUCCCGGAGCAGCCUCGAACAUGCCGCCGGGGGUCGCCGAGAUCACCCCCUCUUCGCGGCGGGCAGGCCUCACCCUUCCCCAAGCUCCUGGCUGACUCCCCGGACAUCGUGGCGCAGCGCAGGCCGAGCUCCUCUGGGGUUUGCAGGGGAUUCAGGAAGUAGGUGGCGCGUCCUUCCCGCCCUCCUUCCCUCCCCCGCUUCCUCC
rnacentral:lncRNA from 1 species